rnacentral:lncRNA from 1 species
CAGUAACAAUAACAACAGUAACAAUAAUAAUAAUGAUAAAAGUUAUACAAAUAUAAACAAUAAUAUAAAUAUAAUUUUUUAUAAAAUAAUAAAAUGUCAAGGUUUAUAUUUUGUUAUAUAUAUAUAUUUUUAUGAACAUACAUAUUAUAUUGCGUUUGUUAGUAAAUAUAAUAUUAUUAAUUAUACUAAAAAUUUAAUUCAUUACCACAUAAUAAAUAACGAAGAAGAAAGUCUUGUAAAUCAAUUAGCAUUAAGGUGUGAAAAAAAAAAAAUUGAACUUAUGGAUAAUUGGGCAGAGUUGAAAAAAUAUGUAUUCGUAUUAUAUCCUGGCUUACAAACUAAAGUUAAGUGUUUUGGAUCGGAUCAGAAUUUACAAAAAUGGAGUGGGCAUAACAAUAAUGACGGUAGUAACAGUAGUAGUAAUAGUAGUAGUAGUAGUAGUAGUAAUAGUAGUAGUAGUAGUAGUAAUAGUAGUGGUAGUAAUAGUAGUGGUAGUAGUAGUAGUAGUAAUAGUAUUAGUAGUAGUAUUAGUAUUAGUAGUAGUAGUAAUAGUAGUAGUAGUAGUAGUAGUAGUAAUAGUAGAGGUGGUAUAAAAAAGAAAAGUUUCCGAAUAUAUAAAAAAAAAAUAAAAAAAGACAUGAAUGAAGAUAAAACAAGUAUAAAAACUUAUUGUUUUGAUCAUCGGUUUAUUAUUAAUACUAAUCUUAAAGUAAUAAAUCAAGAUGUAGCAUCUUAUGAAAAUAAUAAAGAAUAUACAAAAAUUACAAAAUUAAAUGAUGACUAUGUAAUUAUAAAUAUAAAAAUAUUUAAUUUUCAUGGUUUUAAUUUAUCUUUUAUAGAAUUCCGUUCAUAUGUUUUAAUAGUAAAUCUAACAAAAUAUAAUUUUCUUAUUAAAACAAAAGAUCAUGAAACUUUGAAAAGAGAGCAUAGUACAGGUGCUGUUAGUUACUAUAACAGGGAUUAUACUCCAACCAGUGACGGAGACAACAGUAGUAACAGUAGUAACAGUAGUAACAGUAGUAACAGUAGUAGUAACGGUAACGAUAGUAGUAAUAGAAAAAAAAAGAAGAAAAAAAAAAAAAAACAUAAUUUUGAAAAUACUUCAUCCGAUGAAUAUAAUACGAAUAUAACUAAACGGGUAGACAAAGAAGAUGUAUUUAGUUAUAGGUCCGAUUUAAAUGAAAGUGAAGAAUGUAUUUUAAGUGAAUACUCAAGAAAGUCUUUUUCUGGAGAAACUGACAUUAUGGGAAAAAGUUUUUAUAAAAAUGUAAAAGGUUUAAGAGGUAAUAAAAAAAAGAACUAUCUUAAAAAACAUAAAACACAGAUAACCUACUACGACAGCAGUAAUAGCAAGAGCAACAACAGGGACAGGGACAGGGACAGUAACAGGGACAGGGACAGGGACAGUAACAGGGACAGUAACAGGGACAGUAAGAGCAAAAAAAACAAAAGAAAUAAUAACAGUUAUAUGUGUACUUUCUUUUCAGCACUUGUAAACAAAGCAAAACUUAACGGAGAAAAAGAAAAAACAAAUUUAUUAAAAAGUAUGACCAUGCAAGAAUUAAAGAUAAAAAAUAAAAGUACAUGGGAUUUUAUUAGUUUGAAAAUUGAAGAUACAGAAAAAAAGAGUUCACAAGUGAUGAGUAUAUAUUAUCCACACAAAACGAAUGAAACAAAGAGAAAUGAAAAAAAAUCAAACGAAACAUGGAGGAAUGAUAAAGAUUACUAUUUUAAUGGAUAUAAUACGGAGUAUAUCCCAAAGGAGAAAAGAAAACAAAUUAAUGAAAAAAAAAAAUUAAAUUUCAAACGUGCUAUGGAUAUAAUAAAAAAAAAUUGUUAUUUUACGAAAAAAGAGGAUGAAACAGAAGAUGAAAUAGGAGGAAUAAAAAAAACAUAUUUCAAAAAUGAAAAUUUACAAAAAAAGUACAUUAUAUGUAAUUAUAUGAGAAUACAUAAAAAUAUGAAUAAAUAUUUUUAUAUGUAUAAAUAUAAACAAAUAAAUACGACAAAUCAUGAAUAUUAUAUUGUUGUUAAAGAAAUGCUAUUUCGUAUUAUAUCUAUAGAACAAGACAAAACCAAUUAUAUAAUCAUUAAAAAAGUUCCGUUUUAUGAUGGGUAUAACAGUUGCAGUACACUUGAUCUUAUAAAUACUAAAAUGGGGGAGGUCGCUAUAGGUAGAACCACUACAGAUAGAAC